rnacentral:rRNA from 1 species
AGAGUUUGAUCCUGGCUCAGAGCGAACGUUAGCGGCGCGCCUAACACAUGCAAGUCGAGCGCGAAAGGGAGCAAUCCUGAGUAAAGCGGCGCACGGGUGCGUAACACGUAGAUAAUCUGCCCUUUGGCGGGGGAUAACGUUCCGAAAGGAGCGCUAAUACCGCAUACAGCAAUCUGGGGUUCGCCUUGGAUUGGCAAAGGUUGGGACCCGCAAGGGCCAAUCGCCAAAGAGAGGAGUCUGCGGCCCAUCAGCUAGUUGGUAAGGUAAUGGCUUACCAAGGCAAAGACGGGUAGCUGGUCUGAGAGGAUGAUCAGCCACACUGGUACUGGAACACGGACCAGACUCCUACGGGAGGCAGCAGUGGGGAGUCUUGGUCAAUGGGCGCAAGCCUGAACCAGCGACGCCGCGUGAGUGAUGAAGGCCUUCGGGUUGUAAAGCUCUGUGGGGAUGGGACGAAGGAGCUCAAUCUAUUAGGUUGAGUAGUUGACGGUAACUCCUUAGCAAGCACCGGCUAACUCUGUGCCCUGCAUCCGCGGUUAAGACAGAUGGGGUGCAAACAGUUGCCUCNGAAAUUACCAUGGGGCCGUUNAAGGCCGCGUUGUUCAAGGCCCGGAAUNGCAUUU